UACGGAGGAUCCAAGCGUUAUCCGGAUUUAUUGGGUUUAAAGGGUGCGUAGGCGGCAGAUUAAGUUAGAGGUGAAAUUCCGAGGCUCAACCUUGGCACUGCCUCUGAUACUGGUUUGCUAGCGAGUAGAUGCUGUAGGCGGAAUGUGUGGUGUAGCGGUGAAAUGCAUAGAGAUCACACAGAACACCGAUUGCGCAGGCAGCUUGCUAAUCCGCAUCUGACGCUGAUGCACGAAAGCGUGGGUAGCGAACAGG
rnacentral:rRNA from 1 species